GACGAACGCUGGCGGCGUGCUUAACACAUGCAAGUCGAACGCGCCUGUCCUCUGGGUUUCUGGGGGGUGGGUGAGGGGCGAACGGGUGAGUCACAAGUGAGUAACCUGCCCCCUUCUUCGGGAUAAAGGUCUGAAAGGCUUGCUAAUACCGGGUAUUCACUGGUCUUCGCAGGGGGUCGGGUGGAAAGGCUUUUUUCUGGUGGGGGAUGGGUUCGCGGCCUGUCCGUUUGUUGGUGGGGUGACGGCCCACCAAGGGUUUGACGGGUAGCCGGCCUGAGAGGGUGACCGGUCAGGUUGGGAGUGAGAUACGGCACUGACUCCCGCGGGAGGCAGCAGUGGGGAAUAUUGGACGAAGGGCGGAAGCAUGAGGCGGCGCCGGCGCGUGAGAGGUGGCGGCCUGCAGGUUGGGAACCUCUUUCGCACGUGCUCAAGCCGGGGCGGGAGUCGUGGUGAGGGUAAUGGGUAAAGAAGCGCCGGCUAACUACGUG
rnacentral:rRNA from 1 species